GAUGAACGCUAGCUGCAGGCUUAACACAUGCAAGUCGAGGGACCGGCGCACGGGUGAGUAACACGUAUCCCACCUGCCCUUUACUCGGGGAUAGCCUUUCGAAAGAUAGUUUAAUACCCGAUAUAAAGGAUUGGGAUGCGUUCCAUUAGGUUGUUGGUGAGGUAACGGCUCACCAAGCCUUCGAUGGAUAGGGGUUCUGAGAGGAAGGACCCCCACAUUGGAAUGGAGACACGGCCCAAACUCGUACGGGAGGCAGCAGUGAGGAAUAUUGGUCAAUGGGUGCUAGCCUGAACCAGCCAAGUAGCGUGAAGGAUGAAGGUGUAUGGGUCGUAAACUUCUUUUAUAUAAGAAUAUGUAUUAUAUGAAUAAGGAUCGGCUAACUCCGUGCCAGCAGCCGCGGUAAUUC
rnacentral:rRNA from 1 species